CUGAGUUCAUAUUUCAUUGCCCAACUACCCUGACCACUUGGGAAUCGCAGGUUUGGAAGGACCCACAGCCAUUCUGUGGAAAUGGAUCUGCUUUCAGGACCGAAUCUCAGACUUCUUGGGGAAGGUUUCAGUGGCUGCCUUUGCUGUGCAGACCUGGAGAUGGGUCUGAUGAUCGGACACCUGAAUUAUCUGUGUGGCUGAGUUUCAAGAAGACCUGCUGGGGUGAAAUGAAAAUGGUGCCUACUAGAAGCCCCAGUGGCUUUGCUGGUGGAGAUUUGCUCCUCCACUGGCUCUUCUUGUAGACACACGACUGCUACAGUAUCAAGGGUCUGAUGCAGACAUGACAAUGUCAAGAGGAAGAGGAGAGCCUCGCUCUUCCCAGGCUUUUGCUUUUAAGAGCAGAAAAACUUUCCCCAGAGUUCCACCAGCUCACUUCUCAUCUUACUUCUUUGGCCAGAACUGGCCCUUGUGCCCAUAUUGUCAGUCAAAUGCCGACAAAGGAAAGGGGCCACUAUGAGUGGUUUAGACUUGGAUUGGAUUUGUCCUUAUUGGAUUGUCCUUAAGUCCUUUGAAAAAGAAGUAUACAACAGAAUGAAAUCUUGACUCAGCUUUCAAGAAUAAAGAGGGGGAAAAUGCACACAUGCUCAAACAAUUUUGCGUCUAAUUUCGUGAACCUACUGAAGUUCGUCCAUAGAAACCCAGAGGACCAGGGCAUGAAGAACUUGUAAGCCAUGCCAUGGAAGGCAAGACUUCAUCCAGAGGGCAGUGAGGAUACUACAACAGGU
rnacentral:lncRNA from 10 species